ACCUAGGAUAGCUCAGUUGGUAAGGCACGAGACUCUGAAUCUCAGAGUCGUGGGUUUGAGCCCCAUGUUGGGCA